GGAAGGUGAAACAUGACAGAAAAAUUAAGGAUUCCUGCUGUGCUUAUAGAAUGAGAAGACGUCAAGAGGUUGAGACUCCAGCAGAUACGAAAGAUUCUGAAAAUCAACUUAACAGCAUAGCUGAAAAAAAGAAGUGAAAGGAAGCAGAAGUGGGAGAGACCACAGCUACCCUCAUCUGAUGUUAAGAUUGCAGGAACAUCCUGUCUGUAUAAUCCUAGACUGAAACAGCAGCUGCUAAGCAUAUGCGUCAAGUUUUACUCAACAACAAUCUGAGAAUACUGUGAAACUGGAGAAAUGCCUUAAGCUCAUACAGCAACUUACAUGCAUUCUAAGGAAGAAGGUAAAACAAAAGAUGUUGUAUUUCCUGUACAUUAAAGUAUAAGUGGUGCCAAAGGAAUCCCCAGAACAGAAAGAGAAGGUAGAAUCUGUUAUUCCCAGAGAUCAUUCUUGAGAUCCACAGCUGAGCUACUGCAGCAUUAGCUGACCAGACAGCUCCUGACCAAGCCUCGGCUUCUAGCAGACAUUGAAUUAUCUCUCCUACUGAAGCAAUGUGAAUCAUAGCAAAGGACUCAUGGAGAAUGGAGAGCCAUGUAUCGUCAGCACAAUGAUAGCAUCUAGUUCAGCAUCUCACUUCUAAACUUCUCAGUGGUUUCCAUAACACUUUGAGUAGGAGGAAAGAAGAGGAGGCAAGGACUAGUCAUACAAUUAGGCAAAUGGCUGUCUACUAUUUACUACUUCCCUGCUACACGUUUUCCCACAAAUACAAGCUCAGUCUCUCCCUAUCUAUACUUGCUGAGGCUGUGGGCUAGUUUAGAAUAGAAUGUAAGCAGCAGAGCACUCAUCAGCUGAAGUCAGCUGAACAAUACACAACAUUGACACAGACAACUUGCUGUUAAUAUCAUCUAGUGAAACUCAUCAUUAGUAUCAUAAAAUAUUUUUAGUUCAAUGCCUGAAGCCACCUAAAAUGGGUGUUAAGAAAUUCAAAAGAAUUUAUUCUUAUGAAAGGUCCUAUCAUCCCUCUUUUCUAGAACCAGGAUAUUCAAGCCAGCUUGCAACAGUCAUAAAUUCUCACAAAUUGCUGACCCAACAGAGGGUUUUCAUCUAUGUGCACGCGGAUGUCACAAAUAGCCAUUAUGCUCACUGAAACAAAGCUACAGAAAAAUCUGAAAACUUACCCAAAGUAAGUCUACAGUAGUCUAGAGCAAGCUGAAUGCUUAUGGCAUCAAUACCAUUUUAGUGGUGUCUGCAUGCACAAAUAUUUUAGUACAGUGUUUUCAGGAUAGUCCCACAAUAAAGGGUAGAGUCAAUGUGAUAUAUAUAUAUAUAGUAUAUAGAUAUAAAUAGCCAUCCACUUGAAUCUACUGAUCAACUUUUCUCACUAACAAGAGAAACUGCUUUUUAAAAGACUGUACACAGCUAGCCCAGCUCCCCAGGUGACCUGAAAGGAAUAAAAUUCUUGUGAUAGGUAAAGCAAGAAGGCUAGGAUAAAGCUACAUUAAACUGGGAGUAAAUGAAUACAUGAAAUUUGUUCCUACUCUGACCAAUGUUAUUAAUUUCCAAAUGACAUAAAAUGAGAAGGAAAGAUGAUUCUGUGCAUAUCCUUUUCAUCUAUACCCUUCUCACGGUUCCACAUCUCAGAAAGAAGAGACUGUUGUAUCACAAGUUUACUUCAUUCGUGUUCUCUUGCAGGAGAUGGAAAGGAAAAGAACUGAUGGUUUGCAGGAAUGCAAAAUAAGGGCACUGGCUACGGCAAUGUCCAGAGAACACGUGGCUUGCAGAAGCUGGAUGGCUUCAUUCUCCCUUGGAAUAACGACACCCAGGAUCUGCCCAGCUCCAGAGCCAUCACUAAGGAUGUGCUAUAUAUAACACAGGAUAUAAGGAUAUAUAUAUGUAUAUAACACAGAUAUAACAAAGGAUGUGUUAGAUACAUGUUUUAAGGGUCAGGCAACUAGGGCAAGUGUAAUUUUACCACUGCAUGUCCUCCAUGAACAGGUGUUUCUCAAAUCAGAGAACAACCCAAGUUGGAAGGAUGGUCCACAGGGACCACUGAGACAAACUCCUGUCUCCACUCAGGACCACCCUGAAGCCCUCAUUCAAACCUUAUGUCUGAGAGCAUUGUCCAAACACCCCUUCAGCUCCGGCAGCUUGGGGCCAUGAUCACUCCCCUGGGGAGCUUUUUCCAUGCCCGUAGUCCUCUGGAGAAGAACCUUUUUCCAGUGCAGCUCCAUGAACUCAUCUGAGUCCAUUGUGCAGCCCAAUUAUUCAGGCCUCUGGUUGGGUAGCAGAAUUAUGUUUGGCCAACGAGGCUGCCAAAUACUUCAAAAAACAACUGGCUACUAGGCAUUAUGUUGGUCCUGGUGUCACACAGAUGGCACUUCUUGGUUAGUUUCAGGGAAAAAGUGUCAGAGCAGGGAUCUGAGAAGACUUGAAGUACAAUUUUACAUUAGUCCUACAGAUACAGGGUACUGCCAAAGGUGUGAAAUUCUUAAAUAGAAAUAUCAAGAAUAUUACAAAGAAUAAUCUACAGGUGUGAUAGUAUAAUUUAAAAGAUCCCACUGAACCCUGGCUUUCAGCUAUUACUCUGACAUGUACAUAUAAAGACUCUCAAUUUCCCCCAUUUUUUUCACCACUCAUAAUUUUCUAUAUAUUACACAAUAAUUCCCAUUUAUACACUAAUUCUCUUUCUCCUUUCAUCUGUUAACCGUCAGGUUCCCAAAUGCCUACAGUACAUGUGUUGCCUCUGCCUUCAGUGUUUUUCCAUCCUCUUCCACUCCUUCAUUGCUCAUCUUCAUUCUCAAACAAAUCCAGGACAGGUAGCUGUGUGCAGCACUCAGAUUAGCUAGCCUAAGCACAGGAAUCCCUAAAAGAUAACCAUGCUUCCGCAUGUGCAUCUGUUUCAGUAGUUGUUCUUACAUGUCUCUGAAUGUAUUUAACAUAAUUAUAUGUGUUAUUGCACCAGGAUUCAUCAUUAUAGAACAGUCAAAAAAGUCUAUCCCACAGAGUGUGGAGAGGGGAUUUUGAGGAAUGCAUUGUAAUACUACCAGUACAUCAUCUGUUUUGCUCUAUUUCCCAUAGUAUGUUAUUUAAUUUAGCCUUGAUAAAGUACUGGGAGGCUUUAAACCAUGCUCUUAGUCAUGAAAAUGUUCACAAAGCAGAAAACAGAAAAUGUUUUCUGCAUGGAACAAAGGGAACAAAAGGCAAGAAUUAUACCUAAAAGUACCAGGCUACAGUGUGAACAGAUUUUAUUGGACAUUUGUAUAAAAUGUCAGAGCACUUCAUUCUGGAGUAAUUCUGUCCUUAUUGCUCAUUUUUCUUCCCCCUUCUACUUCAGAGCUUCUUUUUCAGUACUUUUUUUUUUUUUUUUUUUUUUUUUUUUACUUUUGAAAUCUCUGCUUCUUAAAGACCACUUUUGCAUCCGUGUUUUUUUUUUUCUUUUCUUUUUUUCCCCAUGGUUUUAAAUCUACAUGUUCAGAAGUAAAUCCUGUGGCUCCUCCUGUUUCCCAGCUGUUUAGUGCUUCUCAUGCUACCUCCCUCUUGCCUGCUUAAAGAAAACACAGGGGGGAUGCUUAGGAACUGAGAAAAGGAAAAUAGUGAAUGGUUUAAAACACUGAGGAUCACAAUAGCCAGAAAAGUUGUGAGACAGAGGACAGAAUAGUUGAAGUUGAGGCAGCUUAUUUUUAGUCCUUCUUUUCCCAGCAGCUUGUUUGCUUCCUAUAACUGAGUCUGGAUUGCAGUAACAUCUCUACAAAGUAUUUCAGAACAGCCUAAUGUCCUAACAAGGAGUAUGUCCAGUUUUCCAUUUUCAAGAAGUUCAGGCACCCUGCAAGCAAAACUUGGCUCUGUAAAAAUCUCAGAAGCGGGCAAUUUUAACUAGCCUGAGAUAGAGGAGGUAAGAGUGAUCCUGUCUGUAGUCAGCCUUUGCAGCCUCAAAGUAUGGACAUCUUCAGCAUUAGAGGAGCGCAGAGAUAAGGGAGGCAUUGUUGCACAUAUAACACUUCCCAUUUUCCAUGCUGCUUCAGCUGUUAAAUUUUCAUCUGCCUGUAGAUGCUGAAAUAUAUCCACAAAUUGAAGACUCCUAUACCUCAAAUGAAACUAACAUAUAAAGGAUAAUGUUUUACAAGUGAAAUGAAUAGGUAGAGUCCGCACAAACACUGAUUUCCAGGUAGGAUAACAUCAUAAACACAGGGAAAUUAAAUUAAUGGUUGAAUGAUAACAUUACUAAACUCCCAGCAUUAAUAAUCAGACAUAAAUCUUUAACUGUCUGUGACUGAGGACUCCUGUAUCUUGUUAUAACUCACCUCCCUACAGAAUACACAUCUCCUUCUAAAUAUAAAUAUUUGAAAUUACAAUCUAUGUGUGUUGGAGUAUGAUAAAAUGUGCAGGAAUUAACAGGUUGAUACUAAAAAAUAACGUGUCUGGAAAGUAUAUAUUAAUACUAAAAACGGGGAAGCCGUCUUGCACUGGUCUUGUUUGUUUGCUCUUCAGUCAAUUUCAAUUAGUGUUCUUGGAACUGUAUGUGUGGAGUAAUAUUAGCUCUGAAAAAUCAGUAACCCCCAAUUUUUUACUGCAUUCAAGUACAGUUUUAUCUUACCUGUGCAUUAGCAACGAGAGGGAAAUAAAAGAAGAUAACUGGGGG
rnacentral:lncRNA from 1 species